rnacentral:ncRNA from 2 species
CCGCAUGUCGCAUCUGUUGGUGUCUGCGAAAGCAGAUGAAAAGGGAAUGCGUCAGCGGGUUUUCCGUCAAACGCAGCCGCCCCCGCGACCGUGACCGGAGAGGGUGCCCAAGCCACUGGCCGAAAAGCCGGGAAGGCGGGACACCCGACAGAGGCCAUCCUCUGACAUCCGCAAGCCGGGAGACCUGCCAACGCCCGCGUAAGAAA